ensembl:lncRNA
UUAAUAUUCUCAUUCAGAAUACUAUGCUAAAGGACAACAAUAUCGAUUGUAAAGUUACAUAAAAAAAUAUCAAAGACAGAUGUUCACAUGGACGUAUUGUACAGGGAGGGGGAGCUAGAGCAGACAGCAGCAUAUAUUGAUAGUAUUUUAAAAUGUUAUUUAUUCCUGUGAUUUCAAAGCUGAAUAUGUUUCUUGGACAGCAAAUGAGCAUAUUAGAAUGAUUUCUGAAGGAUCAUUUGACACUGAAAUCUGCAGUACUGAUGCUGGAAAUUCAGCUUUUGAUAACAGAAAUAAAUUACAUUUUAAAAUAUAUCCCAAUCGAAAACAGUUGUUUAAAAUAGUAAAAAUAUUUCUCAAUAUUACUUUGGAUCAAAUUAAUGCAGGAUUGAUGGGAGAGGGGCAGAGAUAUUAGGGAAAAUGAAGAAAAGGAUAAGGGAAGUGAAGGUACAGUGAAAGAGAGAACAUUUAAUUAUUUUCCAUGGACUUGUGGUUUCAGAAAUUUUUGUGGAUGUAUAGGCUAUAUGCAGAAAAAGGGGGCCAAAAUCGAACCUUUUGGGGUACAACAACUUGUCCCUGGAGCAGUACCCUUAAAAGGACAUAUUUGUUCAUUUUUUUUAACCCUAACAGGUAGACCUGUUCCUAUUAGGGGUUAAAAAGGUAGGAAGAUUUCCUUUUAAGAGUACUGCUACAGUGUCAGAAUACUGAUGCUGAAGAAUUUAAGAUUUUUUUUUUAAAUCCUAUUUAGAAAAUGAGGUUCAUGCUGAUACAAUGGAUCGAAGAUCCCCCAAAAUGGGAUGUGCUUCCAACCAAUAAAAUGAUACAUGGCCGCUGUGAAAUUGGUUGUAUAUGUGACGUUUCAUACGAAGAUGAGUCAAGCCCUGCAAAAAUUUUAAACAUUGGAACUAGAUCUGCAAUGCUGAAGCAGCUAAAUACGGUCAUCAACAGGACUGGGCCUGAAGGAAAUGGAGAACAAUUAGGGAGAGGGCAGCGCAAAAAAUACCGCCGAAUACUGUCGGAGAGCUCCAGCAGUGAGGAAUAUGAGUCUGUCAACAAACAGGUUGCUGCAAAGACCAUAAACAGGAUACGAGCCAGAUCUUUUCUACAGCAGUAUAAUCAAUAAAAAGAAUCAAACAGGGAGGCAGUAACAUCUAGAAACCGUGACAGUGAAUUUAAUGUUCAAAUACUUGCAGAACUGAGAGAAAUCAAGAGUGUUCUUUUGGAAACUCUGACACUUUUAAAAAAUGGUAACCUGUGCAAAGUUUUUAAUCUGAGUAAAUGAUUGUUUCAAAUCAAAUGCUAUAAAAAGUUAUUUUGUUGUAGGAUGCACUCCAUUAAUGACUGCGCCAAUCCCAAACACAUUGGGAACUCCUCCUGGACCCACUUCAGAUUUGAUCCCCUGCAGUUCAGAGUCUUCUGCAGUCAUACCAGCCCCGAGUUCCUCUCUUCAGACUCUUUAUGUAAAGGAGUCUAGAAGUAAUGGUAACUGCAAAAAGGUAUCUACACUACAUGUGUUCACUGUAUAAAUGAAUCAAAUAAGCAAGGAGUAACGUCUCGGUUACGUACGUAACCCUCGUUCCCUGAUGGAGGACAGUCUGCCAUGCUGGUUUGUUUACAUCUAUCUAUUUCUUGUACUCUGACAUUUUUCUGUGAUUUGCCUGGAAC